CAGGGUAUAGACCCGAAACCCGGUGAUCUAGCCAUGGGCAGGUUGAAGGUUGGGUAACACUAACUGGAGGACCGAACCGACUAAUGUUGAAAAAUUAGCGGAUGACUUGUGGCUGGGGGUGAAAGGCCAAUCAAACCGGGAGAUAGCUGGUUCUCCCCGAAAGCUAUUUAGGUAGCGCCUCGUGAAUUCAUCUCCGGGGGUAGAGCACUGUUUCGGCAAGGGGGUCAUCCCGACUUACCAACCCGAUGCAAACUGCGAAUACCGGAGAAUGUUAUCACGGGAGACACACGGCGGGUGCUAACGUCCGUCGUGAAGAGGGAAACAACCCAGACCGCCAGCUAAGGUCCCAAAGUCAUGGUUAAGUGGGAAACGAUGUGGGAAGGCCCAGACAGCCAGGAUGUUGGCUUAGAAGCAGCCAUCAUUUAAAGAAAGCGUAAUAGCUCACUGGUCGAGUCGGCCUGCGCGGAAGAUGUAACGGGGCUAAACCAUGCACCGAAGCUGCGGCAGCGACGCUUAUGCGUUGUUGGGUA
rnacentral:rRNA from 1 species